rnacentral:rRNA from 1 species
UACGGGGGGGGCAAGCGUUGUUCGGAAUUACUGGGCGUAAAGGGCUCGUAGGCGGCCAACUAAGUCAUACGUGAAAUCCCUCGGCUUAACCGGGGAACUGCGUCUGAUACUGGAUGGCUUGAGUUCGGGAGAGGGAUGCGGAAUUCCAGGUGUAGCGGUGAAAUGCGUAGAUAUCUGGAGGAACACCGGUGGCGAAGGCGGCAUCCUGGACCGAUACUGACGCUGAUGCACGAAGGCCAGGGGAGCAAACGGG